rnacentral:tRNA from 1 species
GCCUUUGUGGUGUAGUGGUCAGUUCGCUCGACGCGUAACCAAGAGGUCCGUGGUUCGAUUUCCGGCAAAGGCU